rnacentral:lncRNA from 1 species
AGUACUGCUUAGGGUUUUCCUCAUGCAGUGUUUCUAUUUGCUUCAACAAAGACUGCUUGUACUCCCUGUAUUUGUGUUUCCGUGCCUUAGUAUAUAAGCGCUGUAGUUUAUAAAAGUGACCUUUAACAGCAGGAUCUCUGGGAAAUCGAGAAUAAAUUUUCCCAUAACUAAAUAGGUUUUUUCGCAAAUAUGCAAGAUUACAGUCAAACCACUUUUGGUGUUUAACCCCCUUACCCGUUU